UACGAAGGGGGCAAGCGUUGUUCGGAAUUACUGGGCGUAAAGGGCGCGUAGGCGGCUUACCAAGUCAGGCGUGAAAUUCCCGGGCUCAACCUGGGGGCUGCGCUUGAUACUGGUGAGCUUGAAUGCGGGAGAGGAUAGUGGAAUUCCCAGUGUAGAGGUGAAAUUCGUAGAUAUCUGGAGGAAUACCGGUGGCGAAGGCGGCAUCCUGGACCGGCAUUGACGCUGAGGAGCGAAAGCCAGGGGAGCAAACGGG
rnacentral:rRNA from 1 species